rnacentral:rRNA from 1 species
GACGAACGCUGGCGGCGUGCUUAACACAUGCAAGUCGAACGGAAAGGCCCUGCUUGCAGGGUACUCGAGUGGCGAACGGGUGAGUAACACGUGGGUGAUCUGCCCUUCACUUCGGGAUAAGCCUGGGAAACUGGGUCUAAUACCGGAUAGGAGCCACUUUUAGUGUGAUGGUUGGAAAGUUUUUUCGGUGUAGGAUGAGCUCGCGGCCUAUCAGCUUGUUGGUGGGGGAAUGGCCUACCAAGGCGGCGACGGGUAGCCGGCCUGAGAGGGUGGACGGCCACAUUGGGACUGGGAUACGGCCCGGACUCCUACGGGAGGCAGCAGUGGGGAAUAUUGCACAAGGGGCGCAGGCCUGAUGCAGCGACGCCGCGUGGGGGAUGACGGCCUUCGGGUUGUAAACUCCUUUCGCUAGGGACGAAGCUUUUGUGACGGUACCUAGAUAAGAAGCACCGGCUAACUACGUG